rnacentral:lncRNA from 1 species
UUGGUGUUUGCUUUUUGGUGUUAAAUGCCAUUUUUAACACGAUUGCAUAUUGCUAUAUUGCUUUCUGAUCCUAGUUAAUUAAGAUUAUAGUCGAACGGACCUGAAACGUUCUGAUUUCGAAGUCACAUCGCUGAAUUGAGCACUGUUGAAAGGCUAUUGGUACAGUCAUAGAUGAAAUUACAUCUAUGGUACAGUAGAUAACCACUAAGAU